rnacentral:rRNA from 1 species
GAUGAACGCUGGCGGCGUGCCUAAUACAUGCAAGUCGAGCGAACAGACGAGGAGCUUGCUCCUCAUACGUUUGCGUCGCAAGGGGGAGUAACACGUGGAUAACAUCCCUAUAAGAGUGGGGUAAAUCCGGGAAACCGGAGCUAUUACAGGGUAAUCUAUUUAACCGCAUGAUUCAGUAUAGAAAGACGGUUUUGCUUUCACUUAUGCAUGGAUCCGCGCCGCAUUAGCUAGUUGGUAAGGUAACGGCUGACCAAGGCGACGAUGCGUAGCCGACCUGAGAGGGGGACCGGCAACACUGGAACUGGGCCACGGUCCAGACUCCUACGGGAGCAAGCAGUAGGGAAUCUUCGGCAAUGGGCGAAAGCCUGACGGAGCAACGCCGCGUGAGUGAUGCAGGUCUCCGGAUCUUAAAACUCUGUUAUCAGGGAAGAACAAAUGUGUAAGUAUAUAGGCACGGCUUGACGGUACCUAAUCAGAAAGCCACGGCUAACUACGUG